UUCCUCGUGGCCGGGGACGUAUGGCGGGCCUGCCGUGAAGGGCGGGUGGACCCGCAGACCUGCGGGUUCAGCCCCGUCGAGGGGC
rnacentral:tRNA from 1 species